AGCCUCGUAGAUCAGCUUAUAGAGCAUAUGCGUACAAAGCGUAGGCGGCGUCUAUGCGUGGGUUCGAAUCCCACCGAGGCUA
rnacentral:tRNA from 1 species